rnacentral:lncRNA from 1 species
GCAGUGGCCUGCCCACUAGGACUAGACAGCCCAAUAGUCUGGCCUGCACCAUGCGGUCUGUGGACACCAGCAAACGGCCCAAAACGACGGUGGCCCAAAUCGUGCUCCAUGGGGAUUCUGUCAUAUAGGGUAUAAAAUACACUUGGGCCACUAGCAGGCCCAAUCAUAUUACCGUAUAGUCCACUAGCAGACUCAACCAAGUGACCCACCUCAUUCAUUUUGUUAUAGGUAAAAGGAUUUACAACCCUAGGCUGUGGGAAAAGAACCCCAAAGUUCUGAAAUGAUGGUCAUCCUCCCCAAGAGGCGCCACUAAAAAAAUACGCUAGAAUAGUCCUCGCCGAGUCAGCAUGCUACCCAGGUCCACUGAAACCAGUAGAUCGUCCAUGCAAAUCACUGUGUAGCUCUUGUCCAUCAUGAGCAGAAGAGAAUCGCACCGUGGUUAGGGCAGUCGGACCGUCGUAGUCGCGGUUGAAUCGGUAGAAGUAGCGUUGCGCCAGAUGACUAUAACGGCUGUAGAUCUAACACUGUAUUCGAGGACGAAAGACACGCCCACGUGAGCCAUAUGUGGAAUGACCACUAUGUAUAUCACGCAGAUCUGACUCGGUCAUCGCUGUAAGCGAAGGAGCUUGAACCAUAUUAGCAUGCAUCGACACAUCAUGCACCACCCGUGCCUGGCGGCUCUCAAACUCCAACAACACGUCGACUAUUUUUUGAAACGGAAGAGUCUUCGAUAAGAACGAUACCAGAGUCAACACCGCAUCAAAGUCCGACAAGAGACCGGCAAUGAUAACUUCUACAUUUUUGGCCUCCGAAAUGAUAGAUCCAAAAGCCUCAAGCAGAGCACAGGUAUUCUGGAUCUUGGCAAUAUACUCUUUAACAAUUAACUCACCUUUCUUGAUAGAGUGCAGUUCAUGUUUAAUACGGGACAUCUUAACACCAGUGGAGGUAGCGAAAAGAUGAUUCACAGUACUCCAGACUUCACAUGUCGUUUUACUGGCUAUAAAACAAGACAACAAAGAAGCACUAAUUGUAAAGGGUAACCAAGAGGCAAGUAACUUAUCUUGUUGAACAAACAAGAACGCAUCUGGAUUUCGAGUCAGAACACCAUCUUAAGAUGCCACAAAUCUAGGUGGAGCAGGUAACAUGCCUUCUGAAAAACCUUGCAACUCAUAUCCUUCUGUGAUUAAUCGAACAUGUUACUGCCAUUGCACAAAAUUUCCUUCAUCUAAUUUCAUGGUGUCAAGACGAGGGAAAGACUGAAUCAAACACAAGCUGGAAAAAGUCAGGCUAGUAUGAUCAACAGAAGUAGAAUCUGUUGAAUUAGCCAUGGAUCGGUAACGGAAGCAGGCACCAGGAGAUUAGGCGACUGAUACCAUGUUAGAUACUAUACUAUUUCAUAAGAACAGAGAACAAAUUGAGAGAGAUAAAUUUACUGAGGAAAUUACUUAGUAUUCUUUAUCUAAUUGAAUCAGUACAAUGCUAAUGUUUAUAUACUUAUAUAUGAGUAACUGCUGCUAACCAACUACAUACCAGACUAAGUAACAGAAUGAUAUAACAAACUAACAAUCUCUAUACUCUAACACUGAAAAAGUCAAUUUCCUAGAUACAAGAGGCACUCCGGAAUAUCUCACAAGAAGCUGACCAAUCUUGAACCCAGUAAUGCUUCUUAUAAGCUCAACCUCCUCUUAAAAAAUACCAAUAACAAAUAGCUUACUUUUUGAAGCAUUAACCUACAGCUUAGAAUACCUAUAAUACUCCUCCAGUAAACACCAAAUACCAACUACCGAGUCAAAAGAACCCUUGACAAAUAUAAGAAGAUCAUCUGUAAGAGAUAGAUGAUAAAUCUUAACACAAAGACAUUUAGGAUGAUACUUGAAAACACCACAUUGAGCUGCCUCUUCUAAAAUCCUGGACAGGGCAUUCAUUGCAACCACAAAGAGAUAGGGAGACAGAGGAUCUCCCUGUCUGAUUCCUCUUUCCCCUCUAAAAAAAAAGAUAAAGCCCCUCAAAAGAAAUGAAAAACCAAGGAGUAAUGAUGCAAGUAGCAAUCUACUUGAUGAACAGCUCAGAAAUACCUAUAGCAGGCCCCAUUUCAAAGAGUCAAAGGCUUUCUGUAAAUCCACCUUCAAAGCACACCUAGGUGAAAUAUACUUUCUAUUAUAGCCCCUCAACAACUCAUGAACCAAAAGAGUGUUAUCAGUAAUACUCCUACCCUUAAUGAAAGCUCUCUGGCUUUUAGAGAUUAAAGCAUACAAGUACUAAGUAAUUCGAUUAACAAGUACCUUCAAAAUACAUUUAUACACAGCACUACAGCAGGAAAUAGGCCUAAAUUCCUUGAUGUGCCUAGGAUUCUAACAUUUAGGAACCAGAGUAAUGAUGUUAGCAUUAAAAGCAGGCAAAAGCUUUGAAGAAACAAAGUAAAACUAGGGCAAAUUUGAAGAAAAUGCCAAUUUAAAAAAAUUGAGGGGAAUGUGUCACUUUUUUCAAGAAAUAAGUCGAUUUUGAAGAGUGAAAGUAAAAGCGUGACAUAUAGGGUGCGUUUUCAUUGUGAAAAUUUUCUCAUUUUUUUAACAUAUCAGCUCCUUUAGUCAGAUGGUUAAAUGUUAGUGGUUUUGUUAUUGAGAUUGGCUUUGAUUCCUCUCCUCCUCAUAUUUGUAUUUUUAAUUUCAUCUUUGUUUCAAGAUUUUUUUUUAUUUUUAAUUAAUAUUUUUAUCACAUGAGUUUCUCUAGUUACAUGGUUAAAUAAUAAUGAUUUCAUACUUAGUUCUAAGCUUGAUUCCUCUUCUAAGCACAUUUGUAUUUUUUAUUUCAUAUUGUUUCAAUUUUUUAUUUUUAAUUAAUAUUUUUUCAAUUAAUAUUUUUAAUUUAUUUUUUAAUUAAUAACUCUUUUAUUUAUAAAAUCAAAUAAUUAUUUCAAAUAUCAUUAUUUUUAGUAAAUAUAAUUUUUAUAUGUGUAAUAUUUAUUUUCAAUCCACAUCAUGAGUGUUGUAAAUUUUAGUAUUAUAUAUUCUUGUAUGUGUAUUUCAAAUAAUUAUUUGAAAUAUUUCACAUAUAAACGUAAUGAUAUUUGAAAUAAUUAAUUCAUAUAUAAAAAUAUUUGAAAUAUCAUACCCACAAUGUAGAUGAAAAAAAUAAUACUUGAAAUAUUUUACAUAUAAAAAUAAUAAUGAUAUUUGAAAUAAUUUAUUUUAUUUUAUAAUAUUAGAAAUCACCAUACCCACAAUAUAGCUGGAGAAAAUAAACAUUUGACAUAUAAAUAUUAUAUAUAUAAAAAUUAGUUCAUGUUUUUAAAAAAUAAAAUAUAUUUAGCAUAAUGAUAAAUAUCAAAAUUAUAUAUUUUUAUUAUAUAAUUAUUAUAAUUAUUAAUUUAUUUAUAUAAAUAAAGGAGUUAUUAAUUUCAAAUAUUUAACAUAAAGAUAUAUAUAAAAUAUAUUUUUAAUAUAUAAUUACAUAUUUAUUAUUUGAUUUAUGAAAUGAAAGAGUUAUUAAUUAAAAAAAACUUGAAACAAUAUGAAAUAAAAAAAUAUAAGUGUGCUUAGAAGAAGAAUUGAACUUAGGACUCAAUAAUGAAAUCAUUAUUAUUUAACCAUCUAAUUAAAAAAAAAUUAAUAUAAUAAAAAUAUUAAUUAAAAAUAAUAAAAAGUUUAAAACAAAACCAUUAACAUUUAACUAUUUGACUAAAAGAGCUUGUGUCAAAAAAAUCAGAAAGCGGACAUAUUUUUACAUUCUCUCUUUAAAAUUAAUUUAUUUUCUUAAAUUUUAAUAAAAACAACCUAUGUCCCUAUUUUUUUUUUAAAUUGGCAUUUUCUUCAAAUUUGCCCAAAAAACUGCGCAUCAUCAAGAAAAUACUCCCCAACAAUAUCCCAUGCUGAUUUGAAAAAAUAAGCCGUAAAAUUGCGCAGCUUUCUCUUUCCCCUAUUAAAAAAUACCUACCUUAAUUUCAUCCAAACUAAGUUUUUUUUUCUUUUUUAGUUGUCUAAUUAUGAAAAGUUACAAAAUAGUCAUUAAAUUAUUCAAUUUUAUCUUUUUUAUCACCCAAUUAUCUUAGAUUUUUGAGUGCUUUCCAAUUUUAUACGUUAGUCAGCUGGUGAUUUUUAAAAGAAAAAAUUAAAUAGUUGAGUGACCAUUUUAUAACUUUUCAUAGCUGGUGUACAAGCCCAAUUUUUGACCCAGGGCCCAAUAACAAAUUUUAACCUAAAAACUACCCAGGCCCAACUAGCCUAACCCAAUCAGCCCAAAACAUAAACACCUAGCAGAAACCCUAGCCCCCUGUUGUGCCGCACCUGCUCCUGGCCUCCUCACCUGCCCUCUGUUCACAGCCGUCACCACGCCCACUUGCCACCGACUCACCUGCUCCAACUGCUCCGCCAGUACCUGCAACAAACACCAACAAGCAACAGCAAAUACGGAUAGCAAAAGGAGAUUUUUUAUUUUGUAUUUUGGCUAUAUAAGGCCGAUUGAAAAAAUCAAAAGGGCUUCUUUUUCUUUUUUCGAUUUGUAACCAAGAAAACAAAUUUCAACAGAAUAAUAAAAAAUAUCAAGCUUCAAGGUGAUUUCCUGGGUUUUCGAUUGCAAUCUUUACUUUUUCUUUUUUUUCGUUGUAUUUAUUUUAUUUUAUUUUGAUUUUUAAACGAAAUAAAAAAAAUAAAAUAAAGAAAAAAGAGACUCACCGCGGGUCGCUGUUUCCUCCUCGUCGGAAACUCCUUCUCCGGUGAGGAAACCGACUGUAGAGAAGCCUAACAGCCUUUUCCCAUUCGUUUUUGGUCAUUUUGAGGCCGGAUUCGGGUUUAGGAGAUAGGCAUCUCUAAGGGCACGCCUUUCUCCACUCGCCGGCCACCGUGUACGGCGUCACUGGCACCGGCGAUCCGACGGCCGACAAGGUGGCCCUCGGCCGGACCCGAGAUCAAGAAAGGGGAAGAGGGAGAGAGAACUGAGAAGUUUUUAGUUUUUUUUAAAAAAAAGGGAAUGGGGCUGAAUGAUUUUUUUUAACAAAAAUUGGUUUAAAUACCUAAAUGAAACGGCGUCGUUUUGGCCUGUUUCAUUCGGCCUCAAACGACGCCGUUUUGCGUCUAAACCGAGAUCCGACCCGUGACCCGACCCGUCUGAUCUAGGGAUCCGCGUGUUUUUGACGGAAGGGCUAAUUGCACCUUUAGCCCUUCCGCUUUUUUUAAUGCUUUUUAAAUUAGGUUCUUUUGAUCUUUUAAAUUUACCCAAAAUUUUUUCGUAUUUUCAACUUCGUCCUUACUCGAACUACGCCGUUUUAAAGGAAGGGUAAUUUUCUUUGAUGGUCCCUCCAUGUUACAUGCGUGUUCAGAGCAAUCCCUCCCCUUUCGUUUAUUUGCGCUUUGAACCCCCCGAAUCUUGUUUAAUGUUUAAUCUAAUCCUUUAGUGAUUUUGUUUAUUUUCUUUACAAAUUUUAUAUUAUUAUUGUUAUUGCAUUAUUAUUAUUAUAAUUGCUUUUAUAGAUAUAUACAUAUAUUAUUAUAUAUUUUUACAUAUACUUAUACACAUUUUUUUUGUAAUAUAUAUAUACAUAUAAACAUACCUAUUUUAUAAUUUAUUUAUACAUGCAUAUAUAUUUAUAAUACACGUACAUAUUUCUAACCUUUAUAAAUAUAUAAAUACAUAUUUUUACAUAUAUAUAUGUACAUAUUUUAUAUAUUUUAUAAUUCAUACAUGUACAUAUUUUUCAUACUUCAUAGCUUAAAACCAUCUAUAUAUAUCUAUAUGCAUUUUUUAUAAAUACAUGUAUAUAAAAUAUAUUUUCAUACACCUUUAUUAUAUAUACAUAUUUAUAUACUUACAUACACUUCAUACAUAUUUAUUUUUUCUUUAUAUUUUAAAAUAUACUUUAUAUAUAUUUCAUAUAUUUUGUAACUUACGUAUACACACAUAUUUUAAUUUACAUUUCUAUACAUAUAUAUAUAUUCCUUUACGUUUUAUUUGUGUUCACUAUUUAUUUCAUUUUAUUAUUAUUUUGAAUGAAAGUUUUGAUUUAUUUGUUUAUAUACAUUGUUAUUUUAUAUGAUUGUAGGACUAACGUUUAUUUAUUAUUGUUGCUAUUGCUCAUAUCAUUUUAUACUUUUGUAUUCAUUAUGAUUUUGCCAUGAAUAACAACAAUGCAAAUUGCUUUCACAUUUUUUUUACUACGAUUUUAGUGUUUUAUUUUACUCGACAUAACAUAAUUUGUUUUGAAUAAAUAAUAUUUCGUCUUUAGAUUCGAGAGGAUCGUAUCUUAACUUACUGGGUUUCGAUUUUCACGAUAAAUCUAAAUGACGAAUCUUUUUAAACUCAAAUUUUAAAUGAUCUCGGGAUUAAAAAAUUGCGUCCUAACUUACGGGUCGUGAUCUCAUUUUUAAAUCCGAGAUGGCUAAAAUAUCUUUUAAAUAAGCAUUUUUCAUUUGCGUGUUGGGAAUUUGAGACAUUGUAUCCUAACUUACUGGAUAUGAUUCUCUUUCUCGAUUAACGUGAAAUAUGCUACUUUUCCCAAAAAUUUUCAUUUUAAUAUAAGGAUCGUAUUUUUAAAGUUCUUCAAAGUUUUCGACAUUAAGACAUUAAGUAAUCAAUUAGGUACCAAUUUUGGGCAUAUCGAGGGUGCUAAUCCUUCCUCGUGCGUAACCGACUCCCGAACCCAUUUUUCUGAAUUUUGUGGACCAAAAUCGUUGUUUUAAUAAAACUAAACCGUUUAUUAAAAACAACCACUUUUCAAGGUGAUCCAAUCACACCUCAUAAAAAAGGAUUGGUGGCGACUCCCGUUUCAUUUUUCAAAACCCAAGUCGACCCCGUUUUUCAUCCAAAAAUGGCGCCAACAGCUGGGUGACCAAAAAAGAAAUUUACUAAUAAUUAAGUAUUCAUUUUGUAACUUUUCAUAGUUGGGUGAAAAAAAAACACCAUAACUAGGUGACUACUAAUAUAGUUUACCCAUUUAUUUUUUUAUUGAUUUCUUUUAGAUUUAGGCGGUCAGUUGGGUUUAUAAUUGAACUUGUUUUUCUCUGUUUGGGCUAAGAAUUUUUGUCCCAAAACAUUUAAAAAAACCGAUUCUCAAUUUGCAAUCCAACCGCAAUUUAAAAUGGUUUCUCCAAACCAAUACCCUACCUAGUCUUGAUUCAACUAGUCUCACCAACUAAUUUGGUCCAAUUUAAACAGCAAUGCUGUCAAGAAUAUAUGAAUAACAAAAAAAAAAAAAAAGCUUAAAAGGCUGUUCCUUGGUCCUACUUUGGUUCAUACAUAGAUUCUCAGCAGUCAACGCAUUUUAACAUACACCAGUUUUGACUGAGCAAUGCCUCUUCUCUCAAGACUCUUUUCAAAAUGUCAAGGCAAUGAUCUCACCAAACAAAGCAACCCCAGAAUCCAACACUCCAGAAAAAAAACAAUGUAAUACAUACAUACAUGCAAACAUACAUACAUACAUAGCUACUAUCAACCCUGCAAUUAGACCACAAAUUUCACACUACAUGCACAUAUAAUUUACCCUAUACACUCUUUCAACUUAUCCACACGUAGUUUAAAAAAAAAUUUAUGAUAUUGAGUGACGCCUUCUCCUUUGGAACAAGAAACGAGAUUCUGCAUUUGGUUUACUCCCUAUUGGCUUCAAAUUAUUGAUCCUGAAUAACGAGUUGAGUUGCUUGCUUAAUUUCUUAGUGAAUGAUUUGAAUAUCUUGUUAGCAGGGUGUGACCUUACCAGCUCUUGUUUCAUUGACACAUGAUCUUUUUCUAAAUCCGUUAGCCUCAUCCUCAUCCUUGCCACUUCGAGUUUCAGCUCUCGGUUUUCUCGUCUGACCGACGCGUAGUUGUCUCUAGGCGAGAUGGCUCCACUCCCUGCACCACUGCUCGAUCGUUGAGGGAACUGGCUGUUGAUUGUGCCAAAAAAGAAUUGGUUGUGACCUCCGUUCAUCGCGUUCCGGAGCCUGAUUUGCUCGAAAUAUAACACCUGGACCGCCAUUUGUACAGGUAACCUUUCGUUCUGUGCUGCAUGACUACAAGCUUCUUGUGAUAAUUUCUGACAGUCUAUUGUUUUGCAUAGUCUAUAGCGUUCUGAGUCCUUUAUGUUCGGAUGAACCUGUAAAACAGAUAGCUUAAUGUUAAACUUAGUCUAUGGAAAUUGUGGACUUUUUAGUACUUUCUUGUGAGACGAUCACCUUGAGGAAGAUAUCGACGGCUCGGUAUAGCCCGUCGCUAAUGAUCCGAGCAUGAUCAGGAAGUAACUCUGCAAGUGCUAUGAAUUUUGAUGGCAACAAGUUUGUGUCCAGUGCAAUUUCUGCAAGGUAAGUGUCAAGUAACUUGGAUACUUUGAGGAUUGAACUUUGUUUUGGGGAUCCAGGACUGUCAAAAUCAUAUGCCAUUUCACUUUCAUCUCUCAUGCGAUUAUCUUCAUCAUCAUCCUCAUCCAAGUUCAAAAAUAUGGAGAAGAUCCUCAAGAUCGACUCCGUAUCAUACAUGGUUCCAUGAUUGUUACCAUAUGAAUUAGCUGGUAUAAGGAUAUCUUCAAGGAUUGCCUGGUCUAGUUGCAGGCCUAUCCUCCUCUCUAGAUCAGAUCUGCAUGAAGUGGAUGCUGAUGAAGCUAUUGCAGUUUUCAGUAAACUGGACAGGAAAGCCAUGGGAACUGAGCUCCUCCUUGAUUGAGUUGGCAGUAAGCUAACCAUGGCUUCAACAAUGACCCUUUGUUUCUUUUGCAGUUCCAUGUCCAACAGGCUUCCCCUUACAAUGUGAGGGUCCCUAAUGACCAGGCCUUGAAGAGAAUUAUGGGUGUAAUUUAUCAAAAUCUUGCUGAUCAUAUCCUGUUUUAGACCCUUAGACUUCACGGCCGUUAAAACUCGUUGGAAAAACUCAAGAUUAAGAACCGACAGUGACUUUCCCCACCAGUCAGAUGGCGUUUCCGGUUCGAUGUUUGGCAUAGUUUUCAUUGGAAAGUUGUGAUCAAGUUUAAGUAAGCCUGAAGCAAGCUGCUCUUUGCAUGCAUUAUUGGCAAUUGCAUUGAUAAGCCUAUUAACCAAGUUGAUCUCUUCGGAUACAGGCGAGAGGCAUUCGCAACGGUGAAGAACAGAUAUCGAGUUUGAUAUGUUCGGGAGUACCGUGUCCUUCAGAUACGCUUCUGUACGAGCUUCCAAGUUCUUCUGCACAAACUCUUCCGUCAUUUCCAAAAAAUGCGCUGCACAUCGUAAC